UGUUUGUGUUUUAGGGUAGCGGAGAUGGAAGGGGAGAUGUGGGAAUAGAAGAAAUUGACAUACGAGAUGAUGAAGAGUUACCUUCCUUUCCGUUGACUACGCCUGGAAAAUCUGAUCAAGGUCCACCCCCAUUGAUUACGCCUCCACCACCCGGUCCAGGGUCUUUAGGUGCUGAAA